GUGAUGCUGGAGACCUACCGGAACCUCACUGCUAUAGGUUACAGUUGGGAAGAUCAUCAUGUUGAAGAACAACCUCAAAGUUUUAGAAGGCGUGAAAGGCAUGAAAAAAGUCAUACUGGAGAGAAACCGCAUGAAUGU